rnacentral:rRNA from 1 species
AGUGAACGCUGGCGGUAGGCCUAACACAUGCAAGUCGAACGGCAGCACAGUAAGAGCUUGCUCUUACGGGUGGCGAGUGGCGGACGGGUGAGGAAUACAUCGGAAUCUACUUUUUCGUGGGGGAUAACGUAGGGAAACUUACGCUAAUACCGCAUACGACCUACGGGUGAAAGCAGGGGAUCUUCGGACCUUGCGCGAUUGAAUGAGCCGAUGUCGGAUUAGCUAGUUGGCGGGGUAAAGGCCCACCAAGGCGACGAUCCGUAGCUGAUCUGAGAGGAUGAUCAGCCACACUGGAACUGAGACACGGUCCAGACUCCUACGGGAGGCAGCAGUGGGGAAUAUUGGACAAUGGGCGCAAGCCUGAUCCAGCCAUACCGCGUGGGUGAAGAAGGCCUUCGGGUUGUAAAGCCCUUUUGUUGGGAAAGAAAAGCAGCAUGUUAAUACCCCGCUGUUCUGACGGUACCCAAAGAAUAAGCACCGGCUAACUUCGUG